UGGCUCAAAUGGUAAAGAAUCUGUCUGCAAUGCAGGAGACCCAGGUUCGAUUCCUGG
rnacentral:tRNA from 1 species